AUACUUACCUGACAAGGGCGACACCAUGAUCAGGAAGGUGGUUUUCCCAGGGUGAGGCUCAUCUAUUGCACUUGGGAUGUGCUGACCCCUGCAAUUUCCCCAAAUGCGGGAAACUCGAUUGCAUAAUUUGCGGUAGUGGGGGACUGCGUUCGCACUCUCCCCUA
rnacentral:snRNA from 1 species